UUAAAUCGCCGGCGCUUAAGCGGGAAAGGUCGAGGUUAUCGCAUAUAAUUUCAACAACGUCAAUUUUUCGAGCAUCAACUUGGAACCCAGACCGACCGGCCAGGCGGAGUGGCGCACAUGACCAGGCCGGCCUGGAAAGGAAGACCCCUUAGCGUACGGGAAGUGACCCACACAGCUCCUAGGUCCUGAAAAUGAAACUUUUUUAAUCUCACAAGUUUCGUCCGGAUACGAGCUUAUGUAAUCGUACCUUAUUAU
rnacentral:rRNA from 1 species